rnacentral:rRNA from 1 species
UUUUCAGAGAUGAGAAUGUGCCUUCGGGAACCGUGAGACAGGUGCUGCAUGGCUGUCGUCAGCUCGUGUUGUGAAAUGUUGGGUUAAGUCCCGCAACGAGCGCAACCCUUAUCCUUUGUUGCCAGCGGUCCGGCCGGGAACUCAAAGGAGACUGCCAGUGAUAAACUGGAGGAAGGUGGGGAUGACGUCAAGUCAUCAUGGCCCUUACGACCAGGGCUACACACGUGCUACAAUGGCGCAUUCAAAGAGAAGCGACCU